rnacentral:sRNA from 1 species
AUUACAAUUUCCGCGCUGGCGUUUACCUUCUGCUUUCUGCCUUCUGCUGUGGCAUCAUUAAUUUCACAGCUCUUGGCGCUCUCAUUUUUUUUUUUUACCAACUCGAUAGCUCAGUGGUUGCUAUUGGCUUUCUUUAUUUUCUUUCUUUUUUCGGCGUAUUGUUUUCUUUCAGUGAACAUGCGUUGCGUGAAAUUUCAUAAUUAAUCAAACUUAUACGCUCUUGGGUUGGGAAAGACUCGACUCGAACACCAGCACCAGCACCAGGAGAACGCAGAGCGUGACAAGGAUAUGGUUUAAAAGGGAUAAAAGUACUUGAGAGAACUUUAGAUGAAAAAAGCGGCAACAAUAACAGGCAGGAACAUAUUCUGAAAUUAAGCUUUCUACUUGGGCUAAAAGUGAUAAAAACAAACUUGAGAGAUCUUUGGAGUUGGGAGGACGAGAUAACUCCUUAGAGAUGAACAACUAACUAAGAUCAAGAAUAAAUAGUCUUGAUACAUGACUACGAAUUAAACUGGCUCCAGAUUGAAACACUUUUGACCAUAUAAAGUUUUUGGACUGGCAAGUGCAAAUAAUUGUAUAAUUA